rnacentral:tRNA from 1 species
AGCCCCGAGGUGUUUAUCAUGUUGGAUUGCAAAUCUAAAGAAGUAGGCUUACCUCCUGCCGGGGCUU